CUUUCCUCUAAUUUUUCUUCUAUUAUAUAGGUAUUUUAAACUUUUCCUUUUUAAAAUUCUGUACAACUAUUAUGAUUUUAAGAGGGGGAAGAGUUAGAAGCAUUUACAGACUUUUCACAACAAUGACCUUGCUUGAGAAGCAUAAAAAAACGCUGAACAAGAAAAACCAAACAACAGAAAGUAAAACCACUGCAAGCACCAAGAACGAAACGAAAAUGAGCACAGCAAAAAAGAUUGUGGCAGCACAAAAGUCAAGAAAAUGCACGUGUGAUCAUGACUGGCCAAUCAUCAACUGAUACAACAUCCAAGAAAAACGCUCCAAUCACAGCACCUCCACGAAACUUGACGGCAAUUGUCAUGCAACCGAUUCUUAGCCUUGUUACAUGACGCCAUCAUGUCACACUGUGAACUUUGAGUUGAUUUGAACUUACGGAUGGGGGACUUUUCUCCACUCUCAUGUGAUUACGUGAACUUUAUUCCUAGCUCAGCGCGAGACUGUGGUGGAUUUGACUGGCCCUGGUUGGGUUGUUGGAAUUUGAUUGAAUGACA
rnacentral:lncRNA from 10 species